rnacentral:rRNA from 1 species
UACGUAGGGGCAAGCGUUGUCCGGAUUCAUUGGCGUAAAGAGCGUGUAGGCGGCCAGGUAGGUCGGUUGUGAAAACGUGGAGGCUCAACCUUCAGAGGUCGACCGAAACCAUCUGGCUAGAGUCCGGAGAGGAGAGUGGAAUUCCUGGUGUGAGCGGUGGAAAUGACGCAGAUAUCAGGAAGAACACCCGUGGCGAAAGCGGCUCUCUGGAACGGUACUGACGCUGAGACGACGAAAGCGUGGGGGGGAGCGAAACAGGG